UAGAGUUUUGAUCCUGGCUCAGGAUGAACGCUGGCGGCGUGCCUAAUACAUGCAAGUCGAGCGAACGGAUAAGGAGCUUGCUCCUUUGAAGUUAGCGGCGGACGGGUGAGUAACACGUGGGUAACCUACCUAUAAGACUGGAAUAACUUCGGGAAACCGGAGCUAAUGCCGGAUAACAUAUAGAACCGCAUGGUUCUAUAGUGAAAGAUGGUUUUGCUAUCACUUAUAGAUGGACCCGCGCUGUAUUAGCUAGUUGGUAAGGUAAUGGCUUACCAAGGCGACGAUACAUAGCCGACCUGAGAGGGUGAUCGGCCACACUGGAACUGAGACACGGUCCAGACUCCUACGGGAGGCAGCAGUAGGGAAUCUUCCGCAAUGGGCGAAAGCCUGACGGAGCAACGCCGCGUGAGUGAUGAAGGUUUUCGGAUCGUAAAACUCUGUUAUUAGGGAAGAACAAAUGCGUAAGUAACUGUGCGCAUCCUUGUACGGUACCUAAUCAGAAAGCCACGGCUAACUNAC
rnacentral:rRNA from 1 species